GCAAUACUCAGGUCCACAAGGGCAAGGGGAAGAGCCACCUACUAAAGUUCAGAGAAGACUAGUUUAGCAGAAGGCCGUCUGACUCAACUGCAUCGUUAGAUGGAGGACACUACCCAUUGCCAAUCCUGCUGAUGCUUCCCACUGGCCAAAACACAAAGAAGACAGUGACGAAGGGAACCUGUAUGAUGCAAUCCAUGAAGGCAACCUGGUGGUUCUGCUCCCAGAAGUCACCAUAUUAAUGCUGAAUUCAGUGUGAACCUGAUCCGCAUAGUGCCCUGCAGCCCAGAGCUCUUGGAAUCAAGUGAUCUUCCUACCUGAGCUUCCUGAGUAGCUGGGACUACAGCAAUUUGAAGAAUGGAUCAUUGACUGAGAGAGUGAAGACUGAAAAGCAAGUCAAUGAUUUUGUUUCCACUUUUUUUUAACCACCGUCCACUAUAGACGCUCAAAAGGCUGCGUGGUGUUCCACCAAUCAGAUACAUCUGAUGUACAGGCCUUUGGCUUGGAAGGUAAAGACACAUGAAAGCAGCGAUCACAAGGAAUCCAGCUGUGGGCGAGCGCUGGCCCACCAGCACUCUCAGAGGCAGCAGCAGUGGUCCGCAGGACCCUGGCUGACUGUCCCUGGUGGUGUCCGUGGCAGUUCCAGCCCUGAUGUUCGACAUGCUUGCUGUUGGUUGUGUGAGCCAAAUGAAAUGCACAGCAGUGGCAACGCUGGUGUUUUCUUGACAACCUGCAGAGCAGUGAGAUUGAGGACUUUCUUUCUGGCAGUGUGGCUUGAGUCAUGUUCUUUAGUCCUGCUGGAGAUUGUGUGAGCCACUAACUGUCUUUUAAUGAAUUCUUUUUCUAUGUACAUUAACCAGGGUUGAUGAAUGUAUUUAGCAAAUAAAAUCUCUGAUGGAUGUA